ACGGCUCAGUAACACGUAGUCAACAUGCCCCAGGGACGUGGAUAACCUCGGGAAACUGAGGAUAAACCGCGAUAAGUCACUACUUCUGGAAUGGGUAAUGACUUAAAUCUAUAUGGCCCCUGGAUUGGACUGCGGCCGAUCAGGCUGUUGGUGAGGUAAUGGCCCACCAAACCUGUAACCGGUACGGGCUCUGAGAGGAGGAGCCCGGAGAUGGGCACUGAGACAAGGGCCCAGGCCCUAUGGGGCGCAGCAGGCGCGAAACCUCUGCAAUAGGCGAAAGCCUGACAGGGUUACUCUGAGUGAUUCCCGCUAAGGGGAUCUUUUGGCACCUCUAAAAAUGGUGCAGAAUAAGGGGUGGGCAAGUCUGGUGUCAGCCGCCGCGGUAAUACCAGCACCCCGAGUGGUCGGGACGUUUAUUGGGCCUAAAGCAUCCGUAGCCGGUUCUACAAGUCUUCCGUUAAAUCCACCUGCUUAACAGAUGGGCUGCGGAAGAUACUAUAGAGCUAGGAGGCGGGAGAGGCAAGCGGUACUCGAUGGGUAGGGGUAAAAUCCGUUGAUCCAUUGAAGACCACCAGUGGCGAAGGCGGCUUGCCAGAACGCGCUCGACGGUGAGGGAUGAAAGCUGGGGGAGCAAACCGGAUUAGAUACCCGGGUAGUCCCAGCUGUAAACGAUGCAGACUCGGUGAUGAGUUGGCUUAUUGCUAACUCAGUGCCGCAGGGAAGCCGUUAAGUUUGCCGCCUGGGGAGUACGGUCGCAAGGACUGAAACUUAAGGAAUUGGCGGGGGAGCAC
rnacentral:rRNA from 1 species